rnacentral:rRNA from 1 species
GCAUAAUUUUUUGUGGUGCAUUUACUUGAUUGGUGCUUGGGGAUGUUUGAGGCAGAUUUGUUUCCGUCGUUUUGAGGCCAGCUUGCUGGUACCCAAACGGUGUUAGCAUUUUUUGUCUUGGACAUUUGAGUAUGGCUCACGUGUAUUUAUUGGACAGAUCUGAGUGUAAGUUACGGUCGCAUGCGACACGUGCUUUUCAAUUAGUUCGGUCCAGUUAAUGCUCUCGUACUCGUUCCCCAUGUAAAAGCCGGUCAUCUAUCCGACCCGUCUUGAAACACGGACCAAGGAGUUUAUCGUGUGCGCAAGUUUUUGGGUGUUAAAAACUUAAAAGCGAAAUGAAAGUAAAUGACUCUUUAGAGUCUGAUGUGCGAUCUUGUAAAAAAGUGUAGCAUGGCCCCAUUCUAACUGUUUACAGUAGGGUGGCGGAAGAGCGUACGCGGUGAGACCCGAAAGAUGGUGAACUAUUCCUGAGCAGGACGAAGCCAGAGGAAACUCUGGUGGAAGUCCGAAGCGGUUCUGACGUGCAAAUCGAUCGUCUGACUUGGGUAUAGGGGCGAAAGACUAAUCGAACCAUCUAG